UCCUGCCGGAGGUCACUGCUAUUGGGAUUCGGCUAAGCCAUGCAAGCGGAGGGCGCGGUCGAAAGAUCGUGGCCCCACACACUGCUCAGUAACACGUAGUCAACCUACCCUUGGGACGGGGACAACCUCGGGAAACUGAGGCUAAUCCCCGAUAGGUGAGGGACGCUGGAAUGCCUCCUCGCCCAAAGCUCCGGCGCCCAAGGAUGGGACUGCGGUCUAUCAGGCUGUUGGUGGUGUAACGGACCACCAAACCUACGACGGGUACGGGCGAUGGGAGUCGGAGCCCGGAGAUGGGGACUGAGACAAGGCCCCAGGCCCUACGGGGCGCAGCAGGCGCGAAAACUCCGCAAUGCGCGCAAGCGUGACGGGGGAAUCCCAAGUGCCGUUGGUCUUAUGAUCGACGGUCUUUAGGAAGUCUAAGAAGCUUCCAGAAUAAGGGCUGGGCAAGACUGGUGCCAGCCGCCGCGGUAACACCAGCAGCCCAAGUGGUGACCACGAUUAUUGGGCCUAAAGCGCUCGUAGCCGGAUCAGCAAGUCCCUUGUGAAAUCGGGCCGCCUAACGGUUCGGCGUGCAAGGGAUACUGUUGGUCUUGAGGCCGGGAGAGGUCGGAGGUACUCCUGGGGUAGCGGUGAAAUGCUCUAAUCCUAGGGGGACCACCAGUGGCGAAGGCGUCCGACCAGAACGGACCUGACGGUGAGGGGCGAAGGCUAGGGGAGCGAACGGGAUUAGAUACCCCGGUAGUCCUAGCUGUAAAGCAUGCGGGCCAGGUGUCUAGCGCUCCUUGAGGGCGCUAGGUGCCGGAGGGAAGCCGUUAAGCCCGCCGCCUGGGAAGUACGGGCCGCAAGGCUGAACUUAAAGAAUUGGCGGGGAGCACCACAAGAGGUGGGACCUGCGGUUCAAUUGGACUCAACGCCGGU
rnacentral:rRNA from 1 species